GGCACCAGCCUGACUCUUCUGGAAAUGUCUAUUCAGUUAGCCAUCGCCGGCGUCCUCACGCGCCGCCGCCGUUGCCGCGGCCGCUGCCGAAGAUGCCGGCGAGGGUGGUCGACACCCGCACCUCUUCCUCACAGUCCUCCUCAGCCCAAGAUGCAAAUGCCGUAUGGACGUGGCUCGUUUGCGGGAGAUAGAAGGGCACAUAGCUUAAGGAAGAGCUGCAUACCACGGUGUAUGAAGCCAUCAUAGCAGAGCAUGCGAGAUAGAAGCACAGCGAUCAGGAGUUUAAUAGGGGCAGAGCUGAAAGAAAUCUUUUUAUCUUGGUGUCAGCAUCGAGUAGACAAUUACAAUCCUGUGGCAUAUGGAUCAGGGCUAGUCGGCUUGAUCCUGGGAUGAUGCAGGUACACGCUGGAGGUUCGGACCCAGGUCUACCUUAAAUACAAACUAUGUGGUAAACACCAAUUAUGCAGCAAUUUAUUCAGGAACAAGAGCUAUGUCACCGGCAGCAGGGGGAGGUGAAGUAGAUAUGUGUGUGUUGGUUUGGAGUGUUUGAGGUUCACCUUCACAGCUGUGGCCUCAACUUAUAGGCGCGUUGGCGUACGAGAUUACUGGAGGACGGAGACUCGCUGCUGCUGUUGGGUCUCUCAGUACACUGUACACUCUCAGAUAAUGCACUAGAUCGUUCAUGGCCGGAAGAAGUCUGCUGGGUCAUGGUCGUCGUUUGCUGCGCAAGUGGUACAACACAGUGCAUUACUUUCUGUCUCGUCAGUUACCACUACACGUAGCUUUCGAAGCUCUACAGAAUAGUAACAUGCUCUGUUUUCACAUGCAUGGUCAUCAAAUACGGCAAAAAAAAAAAAGCAGAAGAAAUCACAAAUAUGUGGUCUCCAGCUUUUUUUUUUUAUAAAGGGAAUAUAUUAAUAUCAAGAAGAUACCAAUUACACCCAGCCUCUGCAACAACGCACCACCCUAAUGGCACUACGGAUGCACACAGCCAAAAAAGGAAAAGAAAACUAAGAAACAAAAGUCCCGCUACAGUAUCUCGGGCCUAACAACAGCAAUACAUCCACCACCAUGACAACACCGCAGACUCUCCAAAAAACGACGCCUUCAAGAAGGAAACAGUGCUCAAACACCGUCGUCAUCCGAUCAAAGAUCUUAGGUUUUCACCUUGAAGAUAGUCCCCGCUCUCAAAACAAUGCCUCCACCAAGGUCACUGUCAGGCACAACCAGUUAAGGCCAGACCUUGGGUUUUCACCCUCAAAGGUAGGACUCUGCGCUUCACCUGUGUUGCCGCCCCCACUUCCAAACCGCUGCUGUGAAGCCGGGACACCAAGCAAGCCCCUCAACAGCGCGGAGACUUGAAACUCCCUUAGCUAGUCCUCCCCUCCGGCCUUUAAGAAAUUCUCUUCUUCCGACUUUCAUCAUGGAUCCAUAGUUACUUGAUGUCAACACAGAAAAAGAGCUUCGCGCCGCUCCCUCCAGAACCAAACGGUCGGAAUAAACGCAUGGGUGCGCACGACCGAAUACCUCCGAUCCAGCAAACUCCAGGCAAAGCGCUGUUACAUUCGCCGGCGGAGCCUUCCGGAACUCAACCCUCCGGCCAGAUCACGAGUCCAGGCCUCCGGUAGGUCCUCCUCUUCACGCAAGAGAAGCCCUAGGACCGCCGCCUUUAUUCAGGUCGGACCCCCACGUCGGCAACCAUCCCGGGCUGGCCAACCCAACCCUCCACCGGCGAUACCAUCGCCGGCUUCCAAGCACCUCCAUCGCACCUGACGCCCGCCACCUGCCACCAGGUCGACGCCGUCACCGCCAUCCAGGGCCGCCGCCCUUUGUGCCGUGAUUCAGACCUUGAGGAGGAGCAGCACGAGAUCCGCCCCCAUCACCACCCGCCCGGCGAUGCCGAGGCGAGGAAGGAAGGAGAGGAUCGCGCCGCCAGGAUCCAGGGCCGCGCCGCCGCCCCCAAACCGCCUGCCCGGUGAGUCCGCGGCGAGGAACGGAGGAGAGAGCCGACGAUGAUGGCUACGCGUGAUUCUACAGUGAUAGAGUUUGGAAUUGGAGCGCGACGGCCGGCACCGGAGAAAUUCCUCUCGCUCGGAGCGAUGUCGCUGGCCGGUGGUAUGCAUGUAGAGGGAGAGAGACAGCGCGCGCUUCGAGCGGGAUGAUCCGGUCGUGUGUUUCCACUUGGACGGACAAGGGGACAGUAGGUGAAGCUUGUGUAGACAUGGCCCGUCAUGGCUCUGUGGCCGUCGUUGCGCCGAGCUGAAGAAGUUGGUCGUGGCAACUGCUGGUCUUGUGCGGCUGAAGAGAAAGGUUGCCUUCGUGCCGUGCUGGAGCUUGUCGUGGAGCUGCUGCCGACCUGCGUUGUGGUCUUCAUGGACGCAGGCCACUAGGUCAGGCAAAUUUGAGGCACCAUGUCGAUCUAGUUGUGAUGUAGUAUUUGUAUGAUCUAGCACAGUGGCCCUCGCAUAUGUAAGGGCGUCGUCUUUAGUUGUUUUUUGUUUGAAUAAAUAUAUGCUUACCAACGCAGUUUAAUAAAGUAUUUUGACCUAUCAGGUAUGUCUUCCUCUCAUUUUCUCACUUAAUUUCGAAACACAUGAUGUUUUAAACAUGACACUCCAAGAAAUAAAUUAGAGCCAUUAUUUGGAUAAGAUGUUAGCAAAUAUUAUUUUCAGAUAAUGAUGGAAUGUUUAUCAAGGAAAUCCUAACCAUAACUUAUUUUAUAUGGCCAAUCUUCUAUAAUUAUAUAUUGUUUGCCGAAGUAAAUAAAUCAUGCUUACCAACACGGUUUAAUAAAAUAUUUUUACCUACCAGCUAUGUCUUCCGCUCCUUUUCUCACAUAAUUCCGAAACACAUGAUGCUUUGGACAUGAGAUUCCGAGAUAUAA